GAUGAACGCUAGCGGCAGGCUUAAUACAUGCAAGUCGAGGGGCAGCAGGACUGUAGCAAUACAGUUGCUGGCGACCGGCAAACGGGUGCGGAACACGUACGCAACCUACCCAUAACUGGGGAAUAGCCCGGGGAAACCCGGAUUAAUACCUCGUAACCUGGUGAAGUGGCAUCACUUUAUCAGUAUAGCUCCGGCGGUUAUGGAUGGGCGUGCGCCUGAUUAGGUAGUUGGCGGGGUAACGGCCCACCAAGCCUGCGAUCAGUAACUGGUGUGAGAGCACGACCAGUCACACGGGCACUGAGACACGGGCCCGACUCCUACGGGAGGCAGCAGUAAGGAAUAUUGGUCAAUGGACGCAAGUUUGAACCAGCCAUGCCGCGUGAAGGAUGAAGGUCCUCUGGAUUGUAAACUUCUUUUAUAGGGGACGAAACCCGGGUAUUCUUACCCGAUUGACGGUACCCUAGGAAUAAGCACCGGCUAACUCCGUGCCAGCCGCCGCGGUAAAAC
rnacentral:rRNA from 1 species